GAUCCUGGCUCAGGAUGAACGCUGGCGGCGUGCUUAACACAUGCAAGUUGUGCGGUGAUCUCAAGAAGUUUCGGACGGAAAGGGAGAGCAGCAGCGGACGGGUGAGUAAAGCACAAGGACUUGUCCCGAAGAGGGGGACAACUGUGGGAAACCACAGCUAAUACCCCAUAAGCCGAGAGGUGAAAGCAGUAAUGCGCUUUAGGAGAGACUUGUGUCCUAUCAGGUAGUUGGUGAGGUAACGGCUCACCAAGCCGAAGACGGGUAGCCGGACUGAGAGGUUGUACGGCCACAUUGGAACUGAGAGACGGUCCAGACUCCUACGGGAGGCAGCAGUGGGGAAUAUUGGGCAAUGGGGGGCCAACCCUGACCCAGCGACGCCGCGUGAGGGAAGACAGCCUUCGGGUUGUAAACCUCUGUUGCAGGGGAAGAAGAAAGUGACGGUACCCUGCGAGGAAGCUCCGGCAAACUACGUGCCAGCCGCCGC
rnacentral:rRNA from 1 species